rnacentral:misc_RNA from 1 species
CACAUUUCCGAAGAAACAUUGAAGGCCUUUUAGACUAGCUAUGAUUGCCUUCCAUAUGGUGUGGUCGGCGCUUCUGGCGUCUUUGCUGCUGCUGAUCUUGGCGCCGUCCGCUUCUCCCGUCGAUGCCUUUUCCCCUCCUGAGGCAUCCCUCACAGGAGGCCAGAGUCUCAGCAAACGCUCGCUCUUCGAUCCUUCGUGCACUGGCGUCUUUGACCGACAGCUCCUGCGAAGGCUCGGCCGCGUGUGCGAUGACUGUUUCAACGUAUUCCGGGAACCCAACGUAGCUAUGGAAUGCAGGAGUAACUGUUACAACAAUCCAGUGUUCCGCCAGUGCAUGGAAUACCUCCUUCCGGCACACCUUCACGACGAGUACAGAUUAGCUGUGCAGAUGGUCGGGAAAUAGGCUAGACGGCUAAGAAACUCUGCAUUUCCUUUCGCUGACGACCAGAACCCGAUAUUGACUGCCUUCCUGAGUGCCCGCCGUGGGGACAAGAUUCGGGGACGGCGGAUGCAAACCCCUUCCAUAUAAGCAGGAUGUUUGGAACAUACAGAUAGACCGGGAAUCGACACGCUACCGCUGACGCCUGAUUUCUCCGCCUGUUAUACGUGUUGUGAUAUUGUUUAUUGCUGUGGCCAAUGUGCUGUAGUGAUUAUUUCUAUCGUGCACCAUAACGGCAGACUAUCUGCGUUAUGGAAUAAACCUGUAAUGUUC